CUUUAAGCCUUCACAUAAUAUUAAAUAUAUCUAUAGACUUAAAGCUCAAUCAAAUGGGGUACAGCCUAUUUGAAUCAGGAUACAGCCUUCAUCAGAGGGUAAUGCUAUAAUUAUGUGACCAAGUAGGCCUAAAAGCAGCCAUCUUUUAAAAAGCGUUAAAGCCUCCUCACAUACAACACUAAUCCCAAACCAAACCCAAAACCUCUUACCUAAACUGAAUGACUCCAUACCCAUAUGGAAGCCCUUAUGUUAAAACUAGUAACAAGAAUAACUUCUCCAAUAAAUGUAAGUGUAAGCCGAAAUGGACCACCCACCGGCACUUAUCGCUAAUGAGUCCAUAGUAAUAACCCCC
rnacentral:rRNA from 1 species